rnacentral:rRNA from 1 species
GAGUUUGAUCCUGGCUCAGGACGAACGCUGGCGGCGUGCUUAACACAUGCAAGUCGAACGAGAAUCUACUGAAAGAGUUUUCGGACAAUGGAAGUAGAGGAAAGUGGCGGACGGGUGAGUAACGCGUGAGGAACCUGCCUUGAAGAGGGGGACAACAGUUGGAAACGACUGCUAAUACCGCAUGAUGCAUAAGGGUCGCAUGAUUCUUAUGCCAAAGAUUUAUCGCUUCAAGAUGGCCUCGCGUCUGAUUAGCUAGUUGGCGGGGUAACGGCCCACCAAGGCGACGAUCAGUAGCCGGACUGAGAGGUUGAACGGCCACAUUGGGACUGAGAUACGGCCCAGACUCCUACGGGAGGCAGCAGUGGGGAAUAUUGGGCAAUGGGCGCAAGCCUGACCCAGCAACGCCGCGUGAAGGAAGAAGGCUUUCGGUAUGUAAACUUCUAUCAGCAGGGAGAAAAUGACGGUACCUGACUAAGAAG